rnacentral:rRNA from 1 species
GUGAGGAAUAUUGCGCAAUGGAGGCAACUCUGACGCAGCCAUGCCGCGUGCAGGAAGAAGGCGCUACGCGUUGUAAACUGCUUUUAACCGGGAAGAAACCCCAGGACGUGUCCUGGGUUGACGGUACCGGAGGAAUAAGCAACGGCUAACUUCGUGCCAGCAGCCGCGGUAAUACGAAGGGUGCAAGCGUUAUCCGGAUUCAUUGGGUUUAAAGGGUGCGUAGGCGGAGCGUUAAGUCAGUGGUGAAAUCCUGCAGCUUAACUGUAGACUUGCCAUUGAUACUGGCGCUCUUGAGUGCGCUUGAAGUGGGCGGAAUGUGCCGUGUAGCGGUGAAAUGCUUAGAUAUGGCACAGAACACCAAUUGCGAAGGCAGCUCACUAAGGCGAUACUGACGCUGAGGCACGAAAGCGUGGGGAUCGAACAGGAUUAGAAACCCUUGUAGUCC